rnacentral:lncRNA from 1 species
AGGCAGGAUUGUUUAUGAAUCGAAAAUCCCAAGAUGCUGCAGUUGGUGCUCUUUUACGUAUGCUGAAGAAAGCCCCUCCUCUUCGCCAAGAUAUCUGCAGUUUAAUUAAUUUUUCGGAAGCCUCCAGUCCAGAAAUGUCGAACAGCAGCAUUUAUGAGCAAAACCAAAUUUCUGGGGUUGUGAAUGUUGAGCAUGCUGCUUCUUCAAGUAUUGCAUCUUCCAGGUUUGUUGCAUCAAAGACAACUGCUGAUGCAUUAGAGGAGCUUCGGGGUUAUAAAGAGAUGAAAAGCUUAUUGCUUAGUGAAGGUGGUAAGUCUUACACAUCUGCCAAUAAUGCCUCAGGAGCUGAACAUUCCAGUAAAGGUGCGUGAGAAUUUUUAACUUCUGCAAUAUUGGUAUAUCGCACAUAUAUGUACAGCGCUAUGGUUUGAGAGAUUACUACAUGCUAUACAACUGAAGCCAUUUUUGCUCUUAGGUAUUCACGUACGUUUAAUAAAAGAAUGUACAAAUGUUGUUUAAAAUUAUUUAUUAAAUUUAAUAAAUAAAUAUAAAUGAACAGAAAUUAAACAUGUUUAUUAACGGUUUGAAAUUAUUUAUUAUACUUAAUAAAUGAACAUAAAUGAACAAAAACUAAACAUGUUUACCGAAAGCUCUGAUCACACGCUUUCACAACGGUCCGCCAUUGAAUGCAUUUGUUAUAUUGUGCAACCAUGUUGUUUCAACAAGAGACUUAUCCAGAAAGAAAGAAAAAAAGAAAAAGAAACAGAACUGAUGACAGACGUCAAAAUUUACAUUUUCUUUUUAUUUCAAUUUUUUAUUUAAAUUUAAGUUUAUAUGCAUUUAGAACUAGCCAUUGACGCUUGUGGUGUUAUAGAAGAACAAAUAGUUCAAGAUUUUUAAUUUUCCUCUUGCCUUAAAUUGUGUACUGUUGUAUUUCAAUUUUUUGUUCUACUUAAAGAAAAUAUAAAAUAUUUUUUCUAUGUUUGCUCUGCGUGCAGUAGCUGAUUUUUUUUUUCUUUUGUUUUCUCUCUUUUCAUGGUUUUGUUAUGUAUAAAAUGUAAAAAUUAGUAUCGUACAUGAGGCUGUAAACAAAAAUUAAUGAUAAUAAUUUGUAACUAACAUCGUUUUGGUUGGUUCUUGUGCAAACAAGUCAUCCUUCCGAGUCUUAAUUUCUAUUCAGCGUGCUCUUUACUUUGAUUUGAAUGAUCAUCGCUGGAACAGUUGCUCUCCAACACUUAUUGUCAUAUUGUACUAAUUGAAAGCAACUUUUCUGGCUGAUAAGGGCUGAAGUCAUUGUUUUACCCAAUCGACACUCUGAUGUCAUGUCUGAAGAUUUGAGUUUUGGAUUUUUCUAGUACACCCAAACCAAUCCCACAACGUUGAAGUGGAGCGCACGCUGUCAGCCCUUAGCAUGUGUUUUUUUUUUUUUGAGUGGAUACGUUUAAACGUUGAAGCUUUUUCUUGCUUCACUGUACUGGUAUUGACUUUAAGCAAAACUCACUGGUUAGCACAUUUUCUGCACAUUCAUUUAUUGAACGCGACUUUACUUACCUCCCAUGGUUCGUCCCUUCAAGCUGUAAGGCAAAGAAGGAUUGUAGGGCAUCUAGAUAUUGCUUUUUAAUUUGUGGACUCGACAGAAAACUUUAGGCAAAAUCUAAGUCUUCUUGAGCUAAGUUACGUACCAAAACCAGCCCCACAACGUGUACGCGAAGGGACAUUAAAUUUGAUGCUUUGAAUUUUAAAGUUCGCCGAUGGGAAGGCAGGUGGAGCACGUCACAGCUAUUUCUAAGAAAUUUUACCUCUGAAAUAAAUUUGCUGCUUAAAAUUUUCUGAAUUAUUUGGAUAAACUGAAUUGACUUUGUUUUGCAUGCCAUUUAGAAUCCGGUCUGAUGAUAGUAGUGGACAUCUGUCUGAUCCGAAUGAGGCAGGAUUGUUUAUGAAUCGAAAAUCCCAAUAUGCUGCAGUUUGUGCUCUUUUACGUAUGCUGAAGAAAGCCCCUCCUCGUCGCCAAGAUAUCUGCAGUUUAAUUAAUUUUUCGGAAGCCUCCAGUCCAGAAAUGUCGAACAGCAGCAUUUAUGAGCAAAACCAAAUUUCUGGGGUUGUGAAUGUUGAGCAUGCUGCUUCUUCAAGUAUUGCAUCUUCCAGGUUUGUUGCAU